UACGUAGGGUGCGAGCGUUAAUCGGAAUUACUGGGCGUAAAGCGUGCGCAGGCGGAUAUUUAAGUCGGAGGUGAAAUCCCAGGGCUCAACCCUGGAACUGCCCUCGAUACUGGGUAUCUGGACCAAAGUAGAGGUUAGUGGAAUUCCGAGUGUAGAGGUGAAAUUCGUAGAUAUUCGGAGGAACACCAGUGGCGAAGGCGACUAACUGGACUUUUGGUGACGCUGAGGUACGAAAGCGUGGGGAGCAAACAGG
rnacentral:rRNA from 1 species